rnacentral:rRNA from 1 species
UACGGGGGGGGCAAGCGUUGUUCGGAAUUACUGGGCGUAAAGGGCUCGUAGGCGGCCAACUAAGUCAGACGUGAAAUCCCUCGGCUUAACCGGGGAACUGCGUCUGAUACUGGAUGGCUUGAGGUUGGGAGAGGGAUGCGGAAUUCCCAGUGUAGCGGUGAAAUGCGUAGAUAUUGGGAGGAACACCGGUGGCGAAGGCGGCCCCCUGGACCGGUACUGACGCUGAGGCGCGAAAGCGUGGGUAGCAAACGGG